GGCGAGCGGAGGCGCAGGCUCGGAAAGGCGCGCGAGGCUCCAGGCUCCUUCCAGAUCCACAGCUCUCCUUGCU
ensembl:miRNA